rnacentral:tRNA from 1 species
UCCCUGGUGGCUCAGACGUGGUAAAGCAUCUGCCUACAAUGCAGGAGACCCGGGUUCAGUCCCUGGGUUGGGAA